UUAUAGGUAAGUUGGUUGGUACAGUUGGUGGCAAAUACGUGAGGAAGUACGGCAAAAGUGAUGCCGCCAGAAAGCGAUUAAUCACCAAGAUAAUAAAACAUUGCCAGAAGUGCUGUAAAACUUGUUUGGCAUCGAGAUCCUCGUCACAGUUUAUCCUCCCUGUUUAAAGCAGAGAUCAUGAAGAACUCUGUCAACUAGGGUUAACGUGAACCCUUUUCUUGCAACCGAAAAUAGAAAAAGAUUCAGAAGACACCUAGAAAAACUUUCUUCGUGCUUCCCACUUAAUGGUUAUUUUAAGUUUACAACUAUGUUAUUGUCCAUGUACUGUAGAUGUAUACUGUAUGUAGUAUUUUAAUUCUACCUCAAACGGGUCCUGAUCCAACAAUGCAUGCAGGCUAUAGUGCUAUCUUGACAAAAGCCGGAAAAUUUUAGCAGCUGGGAGCCAAAGAAUUAGCUUCAUCCAGUUUUACAUUUCAGGAUAUUCCUAGCGUACUGGCCAUAAAAAAGGUAAAUCAGGCUAAGAAGGAAGAAAAAAGGAGAGAGAAAAAACAAGAUUUUAUGAGCACCCGCAGACUGGCUCGGGAGAAGGGAUUUGAAGUCCACAUUGGUGAUGAAGGUUACAUACUUAAAACUAUAAUCUAAUUUUAAUUUUCGUUUAUUUUAAAGAAGCUUUAUCUGAUCAAUUGUUUUCUUUGACAAUACCGGCGCUGGACAAGCUAAUUGAAGUCCAGGUUGCCCAUGGAGAAGCGCGUGAGGCAAGUCCUAUUCGUGACAACCUAGCUGAAGUGCUCAUGGGUGAUAGAUGUUGCUCAAUUUUUCUUUUAAUAACUGUAACUACAUUCUAAUUUCCCAUAAAUGUAAUUUGGUAGAAGUUUCGGUUCAAAUGUUUUCACCGAGAAGGCCGAUGAGAGGUGCAGCUCUGUUCUGUGCCAAACAGUACCGUAACCCUUAUUUAAAAUUUAUGAUUUUAUUUUUUUCCAGGGUAAACUGAGAUUAAAAGAAAAGAAAAACAC